rnacentral:rRNA from 1 species
UACGUAGGGGGGCUAGCGUUGUUCGGAAUUACUGGGCGUAAAGCGCACGUAGGCGGCUUUGUAAGUUAGAGGUGAAAGCCCGGGGCUCAACCCCGGAAUUGCCUUUAAGACUGCAUCGCUUGAAUUGUGGAGAGGUAAGUGGAAUUCCGAGUGUAGAGGUGAAAUUCGUAGAUAUUCGGAAGAACACCAGUGGCGAAGGCGACUUACUGGACACAUAUUGACGCUGAGGUGCGAAAGCGUGGGGAGCAAACAGG